rnacentral:rRNA from 1 species
UGAGUACGAGCUGCUACGGCAGCGAAGUGGGUGACGUCAAGCUUCCAAGAAAAGCCCUAUACCCGCUAAGGCAUGAUGGCCUGUACCCGAAACCGACACAGGUGGGGUGGUAGAGAAUACCGAGGGGCGCGAGGUAACUCUCUCUAAGGAACUCGGCAAAAUGGCCCCGUAACUUCGGGAGAAGGGGUGCCACCGCAAGGUGGUCGCAGUGAAGAGGCCCAGGCGACUGUUUACCAAAAACGCAGGUCUCCGCUAAGUCGCAAGACGAUGUAUGGGGGCUGACGCCUGCCCAGUGCCGGAAGGUUAAGGAAGUUGGUCAGCGAAAGCGAAGCUAGCGACUGAAGCCCCGGUGAACGGCGGCCGUAACGAUAACGGUCCUAAGGUAGCGAAAUUCCUUGUCGGGUAAGUUCCGACCCGCACGAAAGGCGUAACGAUCUGGGCGCUGUCUCGGAGAGAGGCUCGGCGAAAUAGAAUUGUCUGUGAAGAUGCGGACUACGUGCACCCGGACAGAAAGACCCUAUGAAGCUUUACUGUAGCUUGGUAUUGUGCCCGGGCUCUGAAUGCGCAGGAUAGGUGGGAGGCUUUGAUCCAUGGCUUGCGGGUCAUGGUGAGCCAACGGUGAGAUACCACUCUUUCAGAGCUAGGGUUCUAACGGUCACCCGUUAUCCGGGGACCGGACAGUAUCUGGUGGGCAGUUUGACUGGGGCGGUCGCCUCCUAAAAGGUAACGGAGGCGCGCAAAGGUUUGCUCAGGCUGGUUGGAAAUCAGCCGACGAGUGUAAAAGCAGAAGCAAGCUUGACUGUGAGACCAACAAGUCGAACAGGGACGAAAGUCGGCUUUAGUGAUCCGACGGUUCUGAGCGGAAGGGCCGUCGCUCAACGGAUAAAAGUUACUCUAGGAUAACAGGCUGAUCUCCCCCAAGAGUUCACAUCGACGGGGAGGUUUGGCACCUCGAUGUCGGCUCAUCGCAACCUGGGGCUGAAGUCGGUCCCAAGGGUUGGGCUGUUCGCCCAUUAAAGCGGUACGCGAGCUGGGUUCAGAACGUCGUGAGACAGUUCGGUCCAUAUCCGGUGCAUGCGCAGGAAUAUUGAGAGGAGUUCUCCCUAGUACGAGAGGACCGGGAGGAACGCACCUCUGGUGUACCAGUUAUUGUGCCAACGGUAAACGCUGGGUAGCCAUGUGCGGAGAGGAUAACCGCUGAAAGCAUCUAAGUGGGAAGCCCACCUCAAGAUGAGUAUUCCCAUGGCAUAAGCCAGUAAGGUCACGGGAAGAACACCCGUUGAUAGGCUCUACGUGGAAGCGCAGUAAUGCGUGAAGCGGAGGAGUACUAAUAGACCGAGGGCUUGACC